rnacentral:rRNA from 1 species
UACGAAGGGGGCUAGCGUUGUUCGGAAUCACUGGGCGUAAAGGGCGCGUAGGCGGCUUUAUAAGUCGGGGGUGAAAGCCUGUGGCUCAACCACAGAAUUGCCUUCGAUACUGUAGAGCUUGAGGCCGGAAGAGGUAAGUGGAACUGCGAGUGUAGAGGUGAAAUUCGUAGAUAUUCGCAAGAACACCAGUGGCGAAGGCGGCUCACUGGCCCGAUACUGACGCUGAGGCACGAAAGCGUGGGGAGCAAACGGG